rnacentral:rRNA from 1 species
UACAGAGGCCUCGAGCGUUGUUCGGAUUCAUUGGGCGUAAAGGGUGCGUAGGUGGCGAGGCAAGUCUGGUGUGAAAUCCUAGGGCUCAACCCUGGAACUGCACUGGAUACUACUUUGCUUGAGUACUGGAGAGGAGAUUGGAAUUUACGGUGUAGCAGUGAAAUGCGUAGAUAUCGUAAGGAAGACCAGUGGCGAAGGCGAAUCUCUGGACAGUUACUGACACUGAGGCACGAAGGCCAGGGGAGCAAACGGG